UUGAGCGCUUGAAUUCCCCUUUUACUGCUCCAAACUUUCACCGCAUGGCAGAAAAAAGAGGGAAAAGAGGAGGGAAAAAAACAAAACAAAAAAAGAAAAAAAAGCACGUCACAACAGGAAACAGGAACAGGAAACAGACUUGGCAGACUCUGUUAACGCCAGGUGCAGAGUUUGGCUUGACUCUCGCUGCUGCCUGGCUUGUGCAGGCAGGAGGGUGACUGCUGCUGCUAGUGGAGGCCUUUUUCAUCGGCACACGUCUUUAUCAAACCCCUGGGCCUAGUUUGUUCUCCUGUUGCUGGCUCUUGGUGGGUUGCCGCUGUAAAUUAGACUGGAGAUGUGGGGAGCUCCCUGGUGGAUGCUCGCCUGACGACUUCUCGCCGAAGGUCAAGGGAAAUAUCAGCCUCACCCAUACAUUUUUUUUAAUUACAAGUAGCCAGCUUGUAAAAAAACAGGCUCACGAGCUAGGGUGUUACAGUUUCCUCUGGAUGUGUUUUCCUUUACCUUGUCUCCCGUGCAGCUCACUGCUCGCUGUAUGUCUUCUCCGGGCUGCACUGCGCAAGAAUCUUUAAUCACUUUGUGGAUGGAAAAGACGGCCCGUUGUAAGAGUUAAUUCGAUUUAUUUGACCCAUCAGAGGAGGCAUGCUCACUGUGAUGAUUUCUAGUAAGGGGGCCGUUCAUCCUGCUAGACUGUGGUUGGUCAUGCAGCCAUACCUCCAGACCAAUGUCCAGACACGACCUGGCAACCUGCUGCCAGGCUGAGUCCAUUCACUACCCAGCAGCCUCACUGCAUCCACUAGGCCUCUACGAGCUGGCCUCACCUCAUCUGGCAGCCAUUACCUGCACACAUGCUCCUGUCUGAAGGUUGAUCUGCCGGGUUAAACAAAUCCAGGCCGAGCAGCGCGGCCCGCCAGGAAUCAGCUCCAUACAUCAGCUGUGGAACAGCCAACAUGACAGGAGUACAGAAGCGUGUGGUGUGGAAGCUCAAAGCUCUCGCCCACAUCAAGAGAAACCAUCCGGCCUCGCAGCCACAAGCCCUCCCUCUCCUCCCCCCCUCUCAGGCGUAAUAACAGAGCCAUCAAAUAGCCGUAUUUAUAAUCUCCGAACGGGCCAAUUUUAAAGUGGUCAACUCCAGAGGUAUUGGAAUUGUUGAGAGCAAUUUGCGGUUUUCAUUUUUAAAGAGGCACCAUCCCAGUGGCAAAUGAAAUAAAGUCAGUUCCCUUUUUUUUCCAUUUGGCAAUAUGAAAGAUGGGUUCAAUUACAUCUUUGGCUUUAUUCUGAUAUCAUUUCAAAAUGAUUUAUUUAAUUUAGGUUGGGCAAAAAAAUUAUUUUAUUGUAAUUCCGCUCCAUGUUUGUGUGCCACAGAAAUUAUGAGCAUUUAUCAAUUUCUAAAAUAUGAUGAUCAGAUUGCACUGGCUUGGUACAGUAGGUUUUACGUGGUAUAAUUCAUAUGAAAGCAAUUAGAACUUCAGUAGCUCUUUCACGUAUACAGAAUAUGGUUAUAAAUGAAAGCACAACUUCUGUAUUUGUAUCAUUUGUCUGGAGUUUAUUCAUCUCAAAUUAUUCAGUUUAUCACAAAAACAUCCUCAGUAUUUUAUUGAUGUCAUAACACCUACAAGUUUACAAUGUUCAUCAGCGCUGAGACUCUAGUUUUCAGCGAUGGUGGAAGAAAGUGAUUGCAAACAAAUGGCAGCUGGUUUUGCAACACAUUGUGAGCAGGCCCCAGCGGAUCAGCAUACAUGAAUACAUCUCAUCUGGUCAUUACUGUGCAGUUAUGGAGCCAAGCGCUCCUGCCAGUUUCCACCCUCCUGUCACUUGCUGGUAUCUGACACUGAUGAAAAAUGCAGUGUGUUUUGAUCACCGCAACAUUACCAUUCUGUUUUCUCUAUAUGUUGAGAUCAGAUGUCUCCCUACUGUUGAUCUAGAAUGAUAAAUGUAGUGCCGCAGAA